UGCCAGCAGCCGCGGUAAGACGUAGGGGGCGAGCGUUGUCCGGAAUUAUUGGGCGUAAAGAGCUCGUAGGCGGUUCCGUAAGUCAGAUGUGAAAGCUCAGGGCUCGACCCUGAGAAGCCAUCUGAUACUGCGGUGACUUGAAUCCAGUAGGGGAGUGUGGAAUUCCUGGUGUAGCGGUGAAAUGCGCAGAUAUCAGGAGGAACACCUAUGGCGAAGGCAGCACUCUGGGCUGGUAUUGACGCUGAGGAGCGAAAGCAUGGGUAGCAAACAGGAUUAGAUA
rnacentral:rRNA from 1 species